UGGGGGAUAUUGCACAAUGGGCGAAAGCCUGAUGCAGCGACGCCGCGUGGGGGAUGAAGGCUUUCGGGUUGUAAACCUCUUUCGCUAUCGAACAAGGCCCGCUUAGGGUGGGUUGAGGGUAGGUGGAGAAGAAGCGCCGGCUAACUACGUGCCAGCAGCCGCGGUAAUACGUAGGGCGCGAGCGUUGUACGGAAUUAUUGGGCGGAAAGGGUUUGUAGGCGGCUUGUUGCGCCUGCUGUGAAAACGCGGGGCUUAACUUCGCGCGUUGAGUGGUUACGUGCAGGCUUGAGGGUGGUAUGGGUGACUGGAAUUCCAGGUGUAGCGGUGGAAUGCGGAGAUAUCUGGAGGAACACCGAUGGCGAAGGCAGGUCACUGGGCCAUUACUGACGCUGAGGAGCGAAAGCAUGGGUAGCGAACAGG
rnacentral:rRNA from 1 species